rnacentral:rRNA from 1 species
AUUGAACGCUGGCGGCGGGCUUAACACAUGCAAGUCGAGCGGAGAUGAGGUGCUUGCACCUUAUCUUAGCGGCGGACGGGUGAGUAAUGCUUAGGAAUCUGCCUAUUAGUGGGGGACAACAUUCCGAAAGGAAUGCUAAUACCGCAUACGUCCUACGGGAGAAAGCAGGGGAUCUUCGGACCUUGCGCUAAUAGAUGAGCCUAAGUCGGAUUAGCUAGUUGGUGGGGUAAAGGCCUACCAAGGCGACGAUCUGUAGCGGGUCUGAGAGGAUGAUCCGCCACACUGGGACUGAGACACGGCCCAGACUCCUACGGGAGGCAGCAGUGGGGAAUAUUGGACGAUGGGGGGAACCCUGAUCCAGCCAUGCCGCGUGUGUGAAGAAGGCCUUAUGGUUGUAAAGCACUUUAAGCGAGGAGGAGGCUACUGAGACUAAUACUCUUGGAUAGUGGACGUUACUCGCAGAAUAAGCACCGGCUAACUCUGUGCCAGCCGCCGCCGUAAAAC